rnacentral:rRNA from 1 species
CAGCCGCCGCGGGAACACCAGCACCUCGAGUGGUCAGGAGGUUUAUUGGGCCUAAAGCAUCCGUAGCCGGUUGCAUAAGUUUUCGGUUAAAUCUAUGCGCUUAACGUAUAGGCCGCCGAAAAUACUGUGCAGCUAGGGAGUGGGAGAGGUACACGGUACUCGAUAGGAAGGGGUAAAAUCCUUUGAUCUAUUGAUGACCACCUGUGGCGAAGGCGGUGUACCAGAACACGUUCGACGGUGAGGGAUGAAAGCUGGGGGAGCAAACCGGAUUAGAUACCCUCGUAGUCCCUGUCUCUUAUAC